rnacentral:rRNA from 1 species
ACGCUCGACACCUACAGGAGGCAGCAGUGGGGAAUAUUGGGCAAUGGGCGCAAGCCUGACCCAGCAACGCCGCGUGAAGGAAGAAGGCCCUCGGGUUGUAAACUUCUUUUAACAGGGACGAAGUAAGUGACGGUACCUGUUGAAUAAGCCACGGCUAACUACGUGCCAACAGCCGCGGUAAUCUGAGCGGGCUGGCAAGGC